AAAGGAUUGCUAAUACCGCAUACGUCGGCGAGAUCUCCGGAUCUUGCCGGGAAAGAUGGCCUCUCCUUGGAAGCUGUCACCGGAAGAUGAACCUGCGGCCCAUCAGCUAGUUGGUGAGGUAAUGGCUCACCAAGGCGAAGACGGGUAGCUGGUCUGAGAGGAUGAUCAGCCACACUGGGACUGCGACACGGCCCAGACUCCUACGGGAGGCAGCAGUGGGGAAUAUUGGGCAAUGGGCGAAAGCCUGACCCAGCCACGCCGCGUGAGUGAUGAAGGCCUUCGGGUCGUAAAGCUCUGUGGGGAGGGACGAAUAAGUCGGAUGCUAAUAUCAUCCGGCCCUGACGGUACCUCCUUAGCAAGCACCGGCUAACCAUGUGCCAGCAGCCGCGGUAA
rnacentral:rRNA from 1 species